AUUUUGGAAGCACAUAACAUGUUUGAUUUCACAGAUUCACAACUGGAGAGCAAUUUGCCUCAGGAUGAAUGACACUUGAAAUCUCA